GGAAAAUGCUUACAGCAGCCUCUGUUUGAGGGCUCAUGGAGAGGUAGACUCAGCGUGUAAAAAUGUUAGCAGUCUGGUUGACAUUGCAGCUCUGGCAGGAGCUUCACACAGACUGAAAAUAGCAGCUGGGGAGGUGGGAGGUCACUGGAGCCCCUGCUCUUUGCACACCAGGAGGAGUGACCCAGCGAGGCCGGGACUUGUAUGGGGGCACCAAGCUGCCAGGGCAGGGUGUGACUCUUUGGGAGAGCCACAGAGCACCGGUGGGUGUGAGCUCUGUGUAUGUGGCUCAGGGAGGAGGAUCCUCCUGGGGGUAAAGAUCAAGUAGCUGAGGGAAAUGCCUCUUCUGUAGGGCCUCUGCAGUGGCUCUCCCCGAGGCUCUCACAGCUCAGGCUUCAUGGGCUGAGGAAGACUUCUGCCCGGUGCAACGGCAUGAGGAGGUGCCCCUCCAGUGGUGCGGGCAGGUCGCACUGUGGCAGGUACAGGGCGUCAGCACAGCUGGACGCAAUGCUGGCCAUCAGCACACCCGUGUCAGCAGCAGGAGGUAGACAUGAAAUGCCUGUAACGGCCUUUGAAAGUGUGGCAAAGACAUCACAGCAUCUCUGAGAACAGACGGUUAUGAACCCCUGGCUCUUGUGCUGAUAAUGAAACCACAUUUCCUACCAGGCGCUGGAAGAAACAGCCUUUGUGAAUUGUGAGGCUGUGAACACUGGGUCACUGCAAGAUGAAUUAAGAGAUGUACGACCAGUGGUUCCAGGCCAAAGUGUCCCCUUGCUGUCCAUUCUUGGCUGAAGGACACUUUUCACGACUAUCACUGAAGAACAGCUGCUGCUCCCAGGUGGAAGAAGCAGUGCCUGGAGUCAUACGCCCACUCCUCUUUUCAUGAAGCUGCUCUGCUGACAGACCUGUGCACACACUGCACAUCAGGAAAUUGUCAGGACCUUGCACAAAGGCCUUCCUUGCUGCCCUGACCACCAGCAGGCUGUACCUCGGGCCUGCCUCAGCCACUGCUGUGGCUGGUUACCAAUGCAGGACCUGCUCUGCUCCUCUGGCAUGGUGGGACUGCACCUUCAGGAGGUUUGAGGCUCAAACUGAACAAAGCAGAUGUGAAUUCUCCAUUAUUUUGGAGCGCAGACAUCUAUAAAUGUCUCAGAUCCUUCACUGGACGGGACCAGGCUGACCUGGAUGCGUGAGCUCCUGGCUGAGCUUCUUUGGACUGCGCACCAUGAGAGUCCUCUUCCAACAAAUGGUCUUAGCAUGUAUGAAGCAAAUAAAAAAC
rnacentral:lncRNA from 1 species